CCUACGGGGUGCUGCAGUGAGGAAUAUUGGUCAAUGGGCGAGAGCCUGAACCAGCCAAGUCGCGUGAGUGAGUACUGCCCUAUGGGUUGUAAACCUCUUUUGUCGGGGAGCAAAAGCCGGACGUGUCCGGCUGUGAGAGUACCCGAAGAAAAAGCAUCGGCUAACUCCGUGCCAGCAGCGGCGGUAAUACGGAGGAUCCGAGCGUUAUCCGGAUUUAUUGGGUUUAAAGGGAGCGUAGAUGGGUUGUUAAGUCAGUUGUGAAAGUGUGCGGCUCAACCGUAAAAUUGCAAUUGAUACUGGCAGCCUUGAGUACAGUUGAGGUAGGCGGAAUUCGUGGUGUAGCGGUGAAAUGCUUAGAUAUCACGAAGAACUCCGAUUGCGAAGGCAGCCUGCUGGACUGUAACUGACGCUGAUGCUCGAAAGUGUGGGUAUCAAACAGGAUUAGAUACCCGUGUAGUC
rnacentral:rRNA from 1 species